rnacentral:rRNA from 1 species
CCUACGGGAGGCAGCAGUGGGGGAUAUUGCACAAUGGGGGAAACCCUGAUGCAGCGACGCCGCGUGGGUGAAGAAGCGCCUCGGCGCGUAAAGCCCUGUCAGCAGGGAAGAAAAUGACGGUACCUGAAGAAUAAGCCCCGGCUAACUACGUGCCAGCAGCCGCGGUAAUACGUAGGGGGCAAGCGUUAUCCGGAUUUACUGGGUGUAAAGGGGGCGCAGGCGGCGAUGCAAGCCAGGAGUGAAAGCCCGGGGCCCAACCCCGGGACGGCUGUUGGAACUGCGUGGCUAGAGUGCAGGAGGGGCAGGCGGAAUUCGUGGGGUAGCGGUGAAAUGCGUAGAUAUGAGGAAGAACACCGAUGGCGAAGGCGGCCUGCUGGACUGCAACUGACGUUGAGGCCCGAAAGCGUGGGGAGCAAACAGGAUGAGAUACCCCUGUAGUC